UUCAGAUUUUGGGUAUAAUAUUGAUCUUGAUGUCCUUGAGUUGUUUCUGGAUCUAUAUCUCAAAGACUCAAACAAUGAAGAAGAUGCUCUAAGUUGGCACUAUAGCUUUUCUGAAAUAUAUAUGCUACAAAUUCGAGAAGAAGUAUGCAGUGCUCUCUGACUGGAAUAGGAUCUGUGGUUAAAGGGAGUACAAGUGCAAUUGUGGAUCUACCUUCUCUAGGCGUGAUAGUUUAAUCAAUCUCCAUUCAAUAUGCCAAAUGUUUGUGGGAGAGGUAGCUAGGCACACAACAAAUGGCCCCCGAAGCAGAAGAAGCAUGACUGCUCGAAUACAUGCAAAUGCGAGUAAUAUGCCUCUUCAUCCAUUUUGGGAGCCAAAACUUAAUAUUCCUAGAUCCUCUUAAUAUUCGGAGAUUCAUGGCUUUCCUAGCAACAUAGCACCGAGCAACAUGUUUGAUUUUGGUUUUGAUGGUAGUGCAAAACCAUAACCAAGUUGGAAUUUGAAUUUGAAAGGAGGAAGAUAACAAAGACCUAAUCUGGAUACAGACAGGCACCAAUGUUGCUAAUUAUAUUUGCAGAUGGUUAACAUGUCAAUUCUAUGUUGGCAAAUUUGGGUUUCAGGCAACACCACUAGCUAGUUAACAUGUCAAUUCUAUGUCAUUCCAAAAUUUAUUAAUUUAUGAUAUCAAUAAAUUGUGUAAACGGAAAGGUUUGUAAUCUUAGCAGACAAGUGCUUGAAUUAAUCAUGUCAGCAAUGGCAAUGCCACAGUAUUUUAUAAUAAUAUUUUGGUGAUUAUAUUUGAUUUAUC